rnacentral:snRNA from 1 species
GAGAGGCAAUUUGGCUGCGCCAUCUGUCACCCCAUUGAUCACAAGUUGAUUAUGCUGAUGUAGCUGACUAGGCAGAGGUUCCCUUCCUCCCAGAAGCCACAUGCUCAAAAGGAUGACCUUCCUCCUUCCCUGACAUCCAGUCAAGGGAAUAUGGUAUCAGCAUUCCCCUGCCAGAACCUCUAAACAGGCUCUCAAGAAGAAAGUUUGAGUAACAGCCAAUACUUUGAAACAGCCAGGCCUCAUCUCCUCAGGCCUCACUGGGUCCUACCAAUGGCUUUCAGG